ACAAACUUGGUCAUUUAGAGGAAGUAAAAGUCGUAACAAGGUCUCCGUAGGUGAGUAUUCAUCCAACCCAUCUUCAAUUUACUGUCGAAAUCACACUAACACUGCUUUUAGGUGAACCUGCGGAGGGAUCAUUACCGAGUAAGGGCCUUCAGGCUCGACCUCCAACCCUUUGUUGAUCGAACACCUGUUGCCUUGGGGACGGUCCGGACCCGGCUUUGGCGUCGGGCCGUCGGCGUCCCCGGGGGAUAACUCAAACUCUGUAUCCUUGCGUCGGAGUCUAAAGCAAAUGAAUGAAAACUUUCAACAACGGAUCUCUUGGUUCUGGCAUCGAUGAAGAACGCAGC
rnacentral:misc_RNA from 1 species